UUAUUAUUGUCGAUAUCUUCUGCCCGGUGUUUAUAUAAACGGCCGCAGUACCUUGACUGUGCUAAGGUAGCAUAAUCAAUUGGCUAUUAAUUGUAGUCUAGUAUGAAUGAAGUAAUGAAUAGUAACUAUAAUAAGAAAUUUUAUUUUAACUUAAUGAACUGGUGAAAAUACCAGUAUUCAGAAAAAAGACGAGAAGACCCUUAGAGUUUUURAAAUAAAGAUUGUUUAAGACUUUGAUGUAUCAUCAUCUUAAAGUAAUUAUACAACACACUUUUUUGUUGGGGCGACAAGAAAGCAAUAUAACCUUUCUAUUACGCUAAAAGUGGGUAUUAGAUCUGACGAUAUUAUUAUGAAUGACUAAACUACCUGAGGGAUAACAGCAUAAUGAUAAAUAUUAGUUUGUGACCUCGAUGUUGUACUAGGGACUUGUACACUAACCGUGAUAAAAGCUUGUUCUGUUC
rnacentral:rRNA from 1 species